rnacentral:lncRNA from 1 species
GAGCUGGCUGACUGAGAAAUGCUGAGUGUGAAGUGAAUUCAGGGAACUGUCUACUGCAUGAAGUAUAAAAAUAGUUAAAGAGGAUUCCAUAAUAAUUUCCCCAGUGGUUUCAGUCAAAAUGGCAGUGUCUAUAAUGGCUCUUAACCAAGGUGAAGGCAUAAAGCUAUUGGCUAGCUUCAUCAACCAGAAUACUAAAGAAUGCGCUGCAUAAAUCAAUUACAGUGGAGAAUUUACUUCCAGUUGGAAUGGAUGUUAGUAAGUGUAAACUCAAAAUGGAUUAAAGAUCUAAACAUAAGACCAGGAGCUAUAAAAAUCCUGGAGGAGAACAAAGGCAAAACACUCUUUGACAUAAAUCACAGCAGGACCCUCUAUGAUCCACCUCCCAGAAUACUGGAAAUAAAAGGAAAAAUAAACAAAUGGCACCUAAUUAAAAUUAAAAGCUUCUGCACAACAAAGGAAACUAUAAGCAAGGUGAAAAGACAGCCUUCUGAAUGGGAGAAAAUAAUAGCAAAUGAAGCAACUGACAAACAACUAAUCUCAAAAAUAUACAAGCAAAUAAUGCAGCUCAAUUCCAGAAAAAUAAACGGCCCAAUCAAAAAACGGGUAAAGAACUAAAUAGACAUUUCUCCAAAUAAGACAUACGGAUGGCU